rnacentral:rRNA from 1 species
UUAGAGGAAGUAAAAGUUGUAACMAGGUUUCCGUAGGUGAACCUGCGGAAGGAUCAUUA